UACGAGAGCCCCGAGCGUUAUCCGGAAUUACUGGGCGUAAAGGGUGUGUAGGUGGCGUUAUUAGUCGAAUGUUAAAUCUCCGGGCUCAACCUGGAAACCGCAUUCGAAACGGUAAUGCUUGAGACGAGGAGAGGUGUGCGGAACUCAUGGUGUAGGGGUGAAAUCCGUUGAUAUCAUGGGGAACACCAAAAGCGAAGGCAGCACACUGGUCUCGAUCUGACACUGAAACACGAAAGCGUGGGUAGCGAAUGGG
rnacentral:rRNA from 1 species